rnacentral:rRNA from 13 species
UUUAAUAAACAUCUUUAAAAAAAAGCACUCGUUGUCGUCCGAUCACGAAAGUUAAGCAACGUAGGGCACGGAUAGUACUUAGAUGGGUGACCGCUUGGGAACUCCGUGUGAUGUUGACU